rnacentral:rRNA from 1 species
GCAUAUCAAUAAGCGGAGGAAAAGAAACUAACAAGGAUUCCCCUAGUAACGGCGAGUGAAGCGGGAAAAGCUCAAAUUUUAAAUCGAAUAGGGUACCUUAUUCGAGUUGUAUUUUCAAGAGACGUUUUCGGAUCGCGCCUGGGUAUAAGUCCUUUGGAACAGGGCAUCAUAGAGGGUGAGAAUCCCGUUUAUGACCCGGAGCGGCUGUCUAUGUGAUACGUUUUCAAAGAGUCAGGUUGUUUGGGAAUGCAGCCUAAAAUGGGUGGUAAAUUUCAUCUAAAGCUAAAUAUUGGCGAGAGACCGAUAGCGAACAAGUACCGUGAGGGAAAGAUGAAAAGAACUUUGAAAAGAGAGUUAAACAGUACGUGAAAUUGUUGAAAGGGAAACGUUUGAAAUCAGUCAUGUAAACGAGUAAUCAGCUUGGCUUUUGCCUUGUGCACUUUCUCGUUCGCAGGUCAGCGUCAGUUUUGAUACUAGUCGGAUAAAAAAUCAAGGGAAUGUGGCUCUCUUUUACGAGGGAGUGUUAUAGCCCUGGUUAUAAUACGAUGGUUAAGACUGAGGUCUGCAGCCAAUACCCUUUAUGGGCUGGAUAUUUCUUUUGCUCAUGGGUAACCGAGUUUAGACAGCUUGCUGACUAGGUUUGAAUUGCCUGUGACUC